rfam:Triticum urartu cultivar G1812 contig1162531, whole genome shotgun sequence.
GAAGUACUCCCUCCGUUCGAAAUUAAUCGUCGCAGAAAUAGAUGUAUCUAGAACUAAAAUACAUCUAGAUACAUCCAUACUUGCGACAACUAAUUCGUAACGGAGGGAGUACAUG